rnacentral:rRNA from 1 species
UACGAAGGGGGCUAGCGUUGUUCGGAUUUACUGGGCGUAAAGCGCACGUAGGCGGAUUGUUAAGUCGGGGGUGAAAUCCUGGAGCUCAACUCCAGAACUGCCUUCGAUACUGGAAAGCUCGAGUCCGGGAGAGGUGAGUGGAACUGCGAGUGUAGAGGUGAAAUUCGUAGAUAUUCGCAAGAACACCAGUGGCGAAGGCGGCUCACUGGCCCGGUACUGACGCUGAGGUGCGAAAGCGUGGGUAGCAAACAGG